rfam:Oryza sativa Japonica Group DNA, chromosome 3, cultivar: Nipponbare, complete sequence.
GUCGUCGAUGAUGAUGAUCUCGUCUUGUACAUCAUCGCCGGCCUCGACGACACGUAUGAACCAGUCAUCUCCACCAUCGUCGGCAAGGACUUCAUGACCCUGGGAGAGGCGUACUCCCAGCUGCUCAGUUUUGAGC